rnacentral:rRNA from 1 species
UACGUAGGGGCAAGCGUUGUCCGGAUUUAUUGGGCGUAAAGAGCGUGUAGGCGGCCAGGUAGGUCCGUUGUGAAAACUGGAGGCUUAACCUCCAGCUGUCGAUGGAAACCAUCUGGCUAGAGUCCGGAAGAGGAGAGUGGAAUUCCUGGUGUAGCGGUGAAAUGCGCAGAUAUCAGGAAGAACACCCGUGGCGAAGGCGGCUCUCUGGGACGGUACUGACGCUGAGACGCGAAAGCGUGGGGAGCGAACAGG